AGAACUUAGCAGAGAUGCUUUGGUGCCUUCGGGAACUCUGAGACAGGUGCUGCAUGGCUGUCGUCAGCUCGUGUUGUGAAAUGUUGGGUUAAGUCCCGCAACGAGCGCAACCCUUAUCCUUUGUUGCCAGCGGUCCGGCCGGGAACUCAAAGGAGACUGCCAGUGAUAAACUGGAGGAAGGUGGGGAUGACGUCAAGUCAUCAUGGCCCUUACGAGUAGGGCUACACACGUGCUACAAUGGCGCAUACAAAGAGAAGCGACCUCGCGAGAGCAAAGCGGACCUCAUAAAGUGCGUCGUAGUCCGGAUUGGAGUCUGCAACUCGACUCCAUGAAGUCGGAAUCGCUAGUAAUCGUGGAUCAGAAUGCCACGGUGAAUACGUUCCCGGGCCUUGUACACACCGCCCGUCACACCAUGGGAGUGGGUUGCAAAAGAAGUAGGUAGCUUAACCUUCGGGAGGGCGCUUACCACUUUGUGAUUCAUGACUGGGGUGAAGUCGUAACAAGGUAGGCGUAGUGCU
rnacentral:rRNA from 1 species